rnacentral:tRNA from 1 species
GGGCGGUUAGCUCAGACGGAAGAGCAAGCGGUUUACAUCCGCUAGGUCGGCGGUUCAAACCCGUCACCGCCCACCA